rnacentral:rRNA from 1 species
GUAUGGUCAAGCUACAAAGGGCGCACGGUGGAUGCCUAGGCGAUGAGAGGCGAAGAAGGACGUGGACAGCUGCGAAAAGCUCCGGGAAGCCGCUAACAGGCUGUGAUCCGGAGAUCUCCGAAUGGGACAACCCGCGCAGGGAAUACCUGCCAGCCAGUGGUGAAUACAUAGCCACUUGGUAGCGAACCUGGGGAACUGAAACAUCUAAGUACCCAGAGGAAGAGAAAGCAAAUAGCGAUUCCCCCAGUAGUGGCGAGCGAAAGGGGAACAGCCUAAACCAAUUCAGUGUAAGCGUGCCAGCGUUGCUGAGUUGGGGUCGUGGGAUUCUUCAGGAAGCGUGGCACUGCUUCCAACGAGUCAUCAAAGUUCGAGAUAGUCGAAGGUGCCUGGAACGGCCAGCCAUAGACGGUGACAGCCCGGUAAACGAAAUCUCGAGCCCUCGUGAGGAACACCCGAGUACCGCAGGACACGUGUAAUCCGGCGGGAAUCUGGGAGGACCAUCUUCCAAGGCUAAAUACUACUCAUCGACCGAUAGUGAACGAGUACCGCGAGGGAAAGGUGAAAAGAACCCCGGUUAGGGGAGUGAAAGAGUACCUGAAACCGUGUGCCUACAAGCAGUGGGAGCACUAUGGCCUUUAUGGCAACGUGUGACCGCGUACCUUUUGCAUAAUGAGCCUGUGAGUUACCGUGCGUGGCAAGGUUAAGCCGAUAGGCGGAGCCGAAGCGAAAGCGAGUCUUAACAGGGCGUACAGUCGCGUGCGGUAGACCCGAACCCCGAGCGAUCUACCCAUGUCCAGGUUGAAGAGCGGGUAACACCGCUUGGAGGACCGAACGCACCAGAGUUGAAAAUCUGGGCGAUGAGGUGUGGGUAGGAGUGAAAGGCUAAUCAAGCCGGGAGAUAGCUGGUUCUCGCCGAAAUAUAUUGAGGUAUAGCCUCGGGUGAAUUGCGUCGGAGGUAGAGCACUGAAUGGGCUAGGGGUCCUACCAGAUUACCAAACCCAAUCAAACUCCGAAUGCCGAUGACAACUGCCCGGGAGUCAGGCAGCGGGAGAUAAGUUCCGUUGCCGAGAGGGAAAGAGCCCAGAUCGUCAGCUAAGGUCCCCAAGUCUGAGCUAAGUGUAAAAGGAUGUGGAAACGCUUUGACAACCAGGAGGUUGGCUUAGAAGCAGCCACCCUUUAAAGAAAGCGUAAUAGCUCACUGGUCAAGCGGGUCCGCGCCGAAAAUAUAACGGGGCUAAAGCUCAGCACCGAAGCUACGGGUUCUCGUAAGAGAGCGGUAGGCGAGCGUCGUGAAGGAGAUACACGGUGGACGGUGACGACCACUAACGGCCUUCACGAGUGAAUAUGCAGGCAUGAGUAGCGAUAAACUGGGUGAGAAACCCAGUCGCCGUAAGCCCAAGGUUUCCUGGGGAAGGAUAAUCCUCCCACGGGUUAGUCGAUACCUAAGCCGAGGCCGAGAGGCGUAGGCGAUGGAAAGCAGGUUAAUAUUCCUGCACCACCAAGGAUGGCGUUGAAAUAAGCAGGGACGGAGAAGGGUAGCCCAACACGGCGGAUGGUUGUCCGUGUUCAAGCCCGUAGGCUGAGCUCCUAGGACCCGAUAGGGACAAACGGGAGCUCGCUAGGCCGAGAGGUGAUGAGGUCCAGUCCUAGACUGGGACACUGGGUAAUCCCAGGCUUCCUAGAAAAGCUGCGUAUUGAGCCACUUUGGUGAUCGUACUGCAAACCGACUCAGGUGGGCGGGAAGAGUAUUCCAAGGCGCGUGAGAGAACCCUGGUUAAGGAACUCGGCAAAUUGACACCGUAACUUCGGGAGAAGGUGUGCCACUGACCGUGAAAGGACUUGCUCCUCGAGCGGCCGGUGGUCGCAGUGAAAUGGCGGUUGUGACUGUUUACUAAAAACACAGGACUCUGCGAACUCGAAAAGAGGACGUAUAGGGUCUGAUGCCUGCCCGGUGCUGGAAGGUUAAGGGGAUAUGUCAGGGGCAACCCGAAGCAUUGAACCGAAGCCCCAGUAAACGGCGGCCGUAACUAUAACGGUCCUAAGGUAGCGAAAUUCCUUGUCGGGUAAGUUCCGACCUGCACGAAUGGCAUAACAACAUCCGCACUGUCUCGACCAGGGACUCAGCGAAAUUGCAUAGGGGGUGAAGAUGCCCUCUACCCGCGGAAAGACGGAAAGACCCCAUGAACCUUUACUGCAAUUUGGCAGUGAUUUUCGGGUUGUUCUGCGUAGGAUAGGUGGGAGGCUUUGAAGCCGGGCUUCUGGGUUCGGUGGAGCCAACGUUGAAAUACCACCCUGGAUAAUCUGGGAAUCUAACCUGCACCCGUGAUCCGGGUGAGGGACACUGCCUGAUGGGCAGUUUGACUGGGGCGGUCGCCUCCUAAAAUGUAACGGAGGCGUGCGAAGGUUCCCUCAGGCUGAUUGGAAACCAGCCGUAGAGUGCAAACGCAUAAGGGAGCUUUACUGCGAGACCGACAGGUCGACCAGUUGCGAAAGCAGGUGUUAGUGAUCCGGUGGUACCACAUGGAAGGGCCAUCGCUCAUCGGAUAAAAGGUACUCUGGGGAUAACAGGCUGAUCGCGCCUGAGAGUUCACAUCGGCGGCGCGGUUUGGCACCUCGAUGUCGGCUCAUCGCAUCCUGGGGCUGGAGCAGGUCCCAAGGGUUUGGCUGUUCGCCAAUUAAAGCGGUACGCGAGCUGGGUUUAAAACGUCGUGAGACAGUUUGGUCCCUAUCUUCCGUGGGCGCAGGAUACUUGAGAGGAGCUACCCAUAGUACGAGAGGACCUGGGUGGACGCGCCUCUGGUGUUCCGGUUGUCAGGCCACUGGCAUAGCCGGGUAGCCAUGCGCGGAACGGAUAACCGCUGAAAGCAUAUAAGCGGGAAGCCGGCCUCAAGAUUAGGUAUCCCUGCCGCAAGGCACUAAAGGCCCCUUGUAGACGACGAGGUAAUAGGCUGGGUGUGGAAGCGCUGCGAGGCGUGGAGCUAACCAGUACUAAUAGGCCGUGCGGCUUGACCAU